rnacentral:tRNA from 1 species
GAAGGGAUGUGGCUCAGCAGUAUAGUAUUCACUUGGCAUGCAGAAAGUCCCAGGUUCAAUACCUGACAUCUUCA